AUUGAACGCUGGCGGCAGGCCUAACACAUGCAAGUCGAACGAGUGGCGGACGGGUGAGUAAUGUCUGGGAAACUGCCUGGUAGAGGGGGAUAACGUCCGGAAACGGGCGCUAAUACCGCAUACUAUCAGAUGAGCCUAGGUGGGAUUAGCUAGUUGGUGGGGUAAAGGCCUACCAAGGCGACGAUCCGUAACUGGUCUGAGAGGAUGAUCAGUCACACUGGAACUGAGACACGGUCCAGACUCCUACGGGAGGCAGCAGUGGGGAAUAUUGCACAAUGGGCGCAAGCCUGAUACAGCCAUGCCGCGUGUAUGAAGAAGGCCUUCGGGUUGUAAAGUACUUUCAGCGGGGAGGCGUUACCCGCAGAAGAAGCACCGGCUAACUCCGUGCCAGCAGCCGCGGUAAUAC
rnacentral:rRNA from 1 species